ensembl:snoRNA small nucleolar RNA SNORA3/SNORA45 family
AGCGGGGCUAGAGUCGCGCCUAGCCACUGUCCCAGUGUCCUGGUGUGCUAGAGUGCUCGCAGAUUGAACCUCUUUUGUUAAUUCAUUGGCUGCGGUCUAUAACAGUGACCCAGUCAGUCACCAACUCAGACGCACUU